GUGACCUCAAAUCAGGUAGGACUACCCGCUGAACUUAAGCAUAUCAAUAAGCGGAGGAAAAGAAACUAACAAGGAUUCCCCUAGUAACUGCGAGUGAAGCGGGAAAAGCUCAAAUUUAAAAUCUGGCGGUUUUUUUGGCCGUCCGAGUUGUAAUCUAGAGAAGUGUUAUCCGCGCUGGACCGUGUACAAGUCUCCUGGAAUGGAGCAUCAUAGAGGGUGAGAAUCCCGUCUUUGACAUGGACUGCCAGGGCUUUGUGAUGCGCUCUCAAAGAGUCGAGUUGUUUGGGAAUGCAGCUCAAAAUGGGUGGUAAAUUCCAUCUAAAGCUAAAUAUUGGCGAGAGACCGAUAGCGAACAAGUACCGUGAGGGAAAGAU
rnacentral:rRNA from 1 species